rnacentral:rRNA from 1 species
GACGAACGCUGGCGGCGUGCCUAAUACAUGCAAGUAGAACGCACAGUUUAUACCGUAGCUUGCUACACCAUAGACUGUGAGUUGCGAACGGGUGAGUAACGCGUAGGUAACCUGCCUGGUAGCGGGGGAUAACUAUUGGAAACGAUAGCUAAUACCGCAUAAUAUUAAUUAUUGCAUGAUAAUUAAUUGAAAGGUGCAAUUGCACCACUACCAGGUGGACCUGCGUUGUAUUAGCUAGUAGGUGAGGUAACGGCUCACCUAGGCGACGUUACAUAGCCGACCUGAGAGGGUGAUGGGCCACAUGGGAACGGGACCAGGGCCCAGACUCCUAGGGGAGGAAGCAGAGGGGAAUCUUCGCAAAUGGCGGAAAGUUGGCCGAGGCAACGCGGGGUGAGGGAGGAGGGUUUCGGGUCGGUAAAGUCCUGUUGUAAGGGAAGAAGGGGUGUGAGGGUGAAAAGUCACACUUGGGCGGGAAUUUAACAGAAAGGGACGGCUAACUACGUG